rnacentral:rRNA from 1 species
GACGAACGCUGGCGGCGUGCUUAACACAUGCAAGUCGAACGGAAAGGCCCUGCUUUUGUGGGGUGCUCGAGUGGCGAACGGGUGAGUAACACGUGAGUAACCUGCCCUUGACUUUGGGGUAACUUCAGGAAACUGGGGCUAAUACCGGAUAGGAGCUCCUGCUGCAUGGUGGGGGUUGGAAAGUUUCGGCGGUCGGGGAUGGACUCGCGGCUUACCAGCUUGCUGGUUGGGUAGUGGCUUACCAAGGCUUUGACGGGUAGCCGGCCUGAGAGGGUGACCGGCCACAAUGGGACUGAGAUACGGCCCAGACUCCUACGGGAGGCAGCAGUGGGGAAUAUUGCACAAUGGGCGGAAGCCUGAUGCAGCGACGCCGCGGGCGGGAUGACGGCCUGCGGGUUGUAAACCGCUUUCGCCUGUGACGAAGCGUGAGUGACGGUAAUGGGUAAAGAAGCACCGGCUAACUACGUG